AUUGAACGCUGGCGGCAGGCCUAACACAUGCAAGUCGAACGAGUGGCGGACGGGUGAGUAAUGUCUGGGAAACUGCCUGAUGGAGGGGGAUAACUACUGGAAACGGUAGCUAAUACCGCAUACCAUCAGAUGUGCCCAGAUUGGAUUAGCGAGUGGGUGGGGUAACGGCUAACAAAGGCGACGAUCCCUAGCUGGUCUGAGAGGAUGACCAGCCACACUGGAACGGAGAAACGGUCCAGACGCCUACGGGAGGCAGCAGUGGGGAAUAUGGCACAAUGGGCGCAAGCCGUAUGCAGCCAUGCCGCGUGUAUGAAGAAGGCCUUCGGGUUGUAAAGUACUUUCAGCGGGGAGGCGUUACCCGCAGAAGAAGCACCGGCUAAUUCCGUGCCAGCAGCCGCGGUAAUAC
rnacentral:rRNA from 1 species